rnacentral:rRNA from 1 species
ACACUCCUGCGGGAGGCAGCAGUGGGGAAUUUUGGACAAUGGGCGAAAGCCUGAUCCAGCAAUGCCGCGUGAGUGAAGAAGGCCUUCGGGUUGUAAAGCUCUUUUGUCAGGGAAGAAACGGUGAAAGCUAAUAUCUUUUGCUAAUGACGGUACCUGAAGAAUAAGCACCGGCUAACUACGUGCCAGCAGCCGCGGUAAUACGUAGGGUGCAAGCGUUAAUCGGAAUUACUGGGCGUAAAGCGUGCGCAGGCGGUUUUGCAAGUCUGAUGUGAAAUCCCCGGGCUCAACCUGGGAAUUGCAUUGGAGACUGCAAGGCUAGAAUCUGGCAGAGGGGGGUAGAAUUCCACGUGUAGCAGUGAAAUGCGUAGAUAUGUGGAGGAACACCGAUGGCGAAGGCAGCCCCCUGGGUCAAGAUUGACGCUCAUGCACGAAAGCGUGGGGAGCAAACAGGAUUAGAUACCCGUGUAGUCCCAUG